UACGUAGGGCGCAAGCGUUAUCCGGAAUUAUUGGGCGUAAAGAGCUCGUAGGCGGUUUGUCGCGUCUGCCGUGAAAGUCCGGGGCUCAACUCCGGAUCUGCGGUGGGUACGGGCAGACUAGAGUGUGGCAGGGGAGACUGGAAUCCUGGUGUAGCGGUGAAAUGCGCAGAUAUCAGGAGGAACACCGAUGGCGAAGGCAGGAUCUCGUGGGCCACCUACU
rnacentral:rRNA from 1 species